GAGUUUGAUCUUGGCUCAGGACGAACGCUGGCGGCGUGCCUAAUACAUGCAAGUCGAGCGAAUUUUUGGGAGCUUGCUCCCAAAGGUUAGCGGCGGGCGGGUGAGUAACACGUGGGCAACCUGCCUAUAAGACUGGGAUAACUUCGGGAAACCGGAGCUAAUACCGGAUAAUUCUUUUCCUCUCAUGAGGAAAAGCUGAAAGGCGGCUUUUAGCUGUCACUUAUAGAUGGGCCCGCGGCGCAUUAGCUAGUUGGUGAGGUAACGGCUCACCAAGGCGACGAUGCGUAGCCGACCUGAGAGGGUGAUCGGCCACACUGGGACUGAGACACGGCCCAGACUCCUACGGGAGCAGCAGUAGGGAAUCUUCCGCAAUGGACGAAAGUCUGACGGAGCAACGCCGCGUGAGUGAUGAAGGUUUUCGGAUCGUAAAACUCUGUUAUUAGGGAAGAACAAGUACGAGAGUAACUGCUCGUACCUUGACGGUACCUAACCAGAAAGCCACGGCUAACUACGUGCCAGCCGCCGCAGUAAC
rnacentral:rRNA from 1 species